GAAUGCUGACAUAAGUAACGAUAAAGCGGGUGAAAAGCCCGCUCGCCGGAAGACCAAGGGUUCCUGUCCAACGUUAAUCGGGGCAGGGUGAGUCGACCCCUAAGGCGAGGCCGAAAGGCGUAGUCGAUGGGAAACGGGUUAAUAUUCCCGUACUUGGUGUUACUGCGAAGGGGGGACGGAGAAGGCUAUGUUGGCCGGGCGACGGUUGUCCCGGUUUAAGCGUGUAGGUGUGUGUUCCAGGUAAAUCCGGUUCACUUUAACACUGAGGCGUGACGACGAGGCACUACGGUGCUGAAGCAACAAAUGCCCUGCUUCCAGGAAAAGCCUCUAAGCAUCAGGUAACACGAAAUCGUACCCCAAACCGACACAGGUGGUCAGGUAGAGAAUACCAAGGCGCUUGAGAGAACUCGGGUGAAGGAACUAGGCAAAAUGGUGCCGUAACUUCGGGAGAAGGCACGCUGACACGUAGGUGAAGUGAUUUACUCAUGGAGCUGAAGUCAGUCGAAGAUACCAGCUGGCUGCAACUGUUUAUUAAAAACACAGCACUGUGCAAACACGAAAGUGGACGUAUACGGUGUGACGCCUGCCCGGUGCCGGAA
rnacentral:rRNA from 4 species